GACGAACGCUGGCGGCGUGCUUAACACAUGCAAGUCGAACGCUGAAGCUCAGCUUUUGUUGGGUGGAUGAGUGGCGAACGGGUGAGUAACACGUGAGUAACCUGCCCCCUUCUUUGGGAUAACGCCCGGAAACGGGUGCUAAUACUGGAUAUUCACUGGUCUUCGCAUGGGGGUUGGUGGAAAGGGUUUUUCUGGUGGGGGAUGGGCUCGCGGCCUAUCGGCUUGUUGGUGGGGUGAUGGCCUACCAAGGCUUUGACGGGUAGCCGGCCUGAGAGGGUGACCGGUCACAUUGGGACUGAGAUACGGCCCAGACUCCUACGGGAGGCAGCAGUGGGGAAUAAUGCACAAUGGGCGCAAGCCUGAUGCAGCGACGCCGCGUGAGGGAUGGAGGCCUUCGGGUUGUGAACCUCUUUCGCUCAUGGUCAAGCCGCAACAAUGGUUGUGGUGAGGGUAGUGGGUAAAGAAGCGCCGGCUAACUACGUG
rnacentral:rRNA from 1 species